AUGGCCUCCGCCGCCGCCGCCGCCGCCGCCGCCCGUGCGAACAGCCUCUCCCGCAUUUUCAAGCGCAAUCCCAAGACCAAGCGCGCGCCGGCGCCGGCGCCGACGCCGACGCCGAAACCGCCCGCCGCCGAUGCUGACCCCAUCACGGGCCAGAAGCUCCCGAAGCCCCUCGGCGCACAGCCCGCCCGCAACCCUGAUAAGCUGGUCUCCGAGUUCGUCCAAGCGUCAACCGUGUCGUCGCGCUUCCGCGAGCGGCACCGCGUGUACGAGGUAGCGGUGAGCCGCCUCACUUCCUUUGGCCGCCAAGAUGGCAUCGAGGCCAUCAUCGAAGCGCAGAAGCCCUUCCUCGAGACCUCAAACGAGGGAUUCGCCACGCGCCUCAUUCGCCUCUACGGCCGUGCCUCCAUGCCAUCCCACGCUGCCGCAACCUUCCAUGAACUUCCCGCGCAGCAUAAAUCCACCAUGACAUUCAACGCCCUUCUUGCAGCGUACGCCGAAGCUGGGGAUUUGGACGGGCUCACUACUGCAUUCCGGGAGAUCCCAGCCACCCACCCCUCGAUUGUUCCCAGCGUAUACUCUUACAACAUACUCAUCCGCGCAUUGUGCCAGAAGUCUGACCUCUCAGCUGCUCUUGAGGUUGUCCUUCUCAUGGAGAAGCACGGUAUUUCACCUGACAUUAUUACUUUCAACACGCUGUUGAAUGGGUUUUGCAACAAUGGCCCCACGGAUGAAGCAGAGACAGUAUGGGAGAUGAUGAAGGAGAGGAAUUUGGAGCCAAAUGCAAAGUGCUACAAUGCCAAGCUGCGGGGUUUGGUUGCAGAAGGGAGGAUUGAUGAUGCAGCAGCUGUGCUUGAGAGGUUGGAGAAGGACGGGCCAAAACCCGAUACAGUAUCCUACAAUGAGUUGAUUCGAGGAUAUUUGAAAGCAGGGAGGUUACAGGAGGCCAAGAAGCUGUAUGAUGAUUUGGUAAAAAAUCACUGUGCCGCAAAUAAGGGAACAUAUGAGACUCUUGUGCCACAUCUUCUGCAGGUUGGAGACCUGGAUACUGAGGAUGUAGUGAAUGCAUUGGUAGAUGCAUUGAGGGUGGAGGAGGCUGCCAAGCUUGUUGAUAUCGGGCGGAAGAAGUACUACUACUCACGAAAGGGCUUGAGGAUGCGAGGUAGUGCGAAAGUCAGUGAAUUAAGAGCUGAAACUGAUGAGCAAGAAGCAAUAUCAGAAGAAAAGGAGUGUGAAGUGGAACACGAGACUGAAAAGUAA
rnacentral:rRNA from 1 species